rnacentral:rRNA from 1 species
GUAGUCGAUGGGAAACGGGUUAAUAUUCCCGUACUUCUUACAAUUGCGAUGGGGGGACGGAGAAGGCUAGGUGGGCCUGGCGACGGUUGUCCAGGUUCAAGUGCGUAGGCUUAAGAGUUAGGUAAAUCCGGCUCUUUCUAAGGCUGAGACACGACGUCGAGCUACUACGGUAGUGAAGUCAUUGAUGCCAUGCUUCCAGGAAAAGCCUCUAAGCUUCAGAUUGUAAGAAAUCGUACCCCAAACCGACACAGGUGGUCGGGUAGAGAAUACCAAGGCGCUUGAGAGAACUCGGGUGAAGGAACUAGGCAAAAUGGUACCGUAACUUCGGGAGAAGGUACG